rnacentral:tRNA from 1 species
GGAGUUGUAGCUCAGUGGUAGAGCGCUUACCUAGCAGCUUACCUAGCAUGUGUGAGGCACUGGGUGCGAUCCUCAGCACCA